UUUCCGUAGGUGGACCUGCGGAAGGAUCAUUAAUAAUGAUGCGGGGAAUCCGGUCUUUCUCACUCUUGUUUAUUUCAAAUCUCUGCCUUGGUGCGCCGCGCAAGCAUCGGAUGCGGCCGGUUCGUGACCUCCAGUGGACCACAAUUCUGCCUUUUAUGUCGUCUGAGUACUUCAAUACUGUUAAAAUUUUCAACAACGGAACCCUUGGUUCUGGAAUCGAUGCAGAACGUAGCAGAUCGGAAGAGUCCACGUCUGAACCCCAGUAACCAUUCGUCAUAC
rnacentral:misc_RNA from 1 species